rnacentral:rRNA from 1 species
UACGUAGGGUGCGAGCGUUGUCCGGAAUUAUUGGGCGUAAAGAGCUCGUAGGCGGUGUGUCACGUCGGCCGUGAAAACCUGCAGCUUAACUGUGGGCGUGCGGUCGAUACGGGCAUCACUGGAGUUCGGCAGGGGAGACUGGAAUUCCUGGUGUAGCGGUGAAAUGCGCAGAUAUCAGGAGGAACACCGGUGGCGAAGGCGGGUCUCUGGGGCCGAUACUGACGCUGAGGAGCGAAAGCGUGGGGGAGCGAACAGGAUU